AACGAACGCUGGCGGCAGGCCUAACACAUGCAAGUCGAACGCUCGUAGCAAUACGGGAGUGGCAGACGGGUGAGUAACACGUGGGAACCUUCCCUAUGGUCCGGAAUAGCUCAGGGAAACUUGGGGUAAUACCGGAUAAGCCCUUCGGGGGAAAGAUUUAUCGCCAUUGGAUGGGCCCGCGUCGGAUUAGCUAGUUGGUGGGGUAACGGCCUACCAAGGCGACGAUCCGUAGCUGGUCUGAGAGGAUGAUCAGCCACACUGGGACUGAGACACGGCCCAGACUCCUACGGGAGGCAGCAGUGGGGAAUAUUGGACAAUGGGCGGAAGCCUGAUCCAGCCAUGCCGCGUGAGUGAUGAAGGCCUUAGGGUUGUAAAGCUCUUUUACCAGGGAUGAUAAUGACAGUACCUGGAGAAUAAGCUCCGGCUAACUCCGUGCCAGCCGCCGCAGUAAUAC
rnacentral:rRNA from 1 species